GAUGAAGAACGCAGCGAAAUGCGAAAAGUAAUGUGAAUUGCAGAAUUCAGUGAAUCAUCGAAUCUUUGAACGCACAUUGCGCCCGCCAGUAUUCUGGCGGGCAUGCCUGUCUGAGCGUCAUUUCAACCCUCACGCCCCUAGGGCGUGGUGUUGGGGAUCGGCCAAGGCCCGCAAGGGACGGCCGGCCCCUAAAUCUAGUGGCGGACCCAUCGUGGCCUCCCCUGCGAAGUAGUAAUAUAUUCCGCAUCGGANNNNGAUGAGCCCCUGCCGUUAAACCCCCAACUCUUUCAAGGUUGACCUCAGAUCAGGUAGGAAUACCCGCUGAACUUAAGCAUAUCAAUAAGCGGAGGA
rnacentral:misc_RNA from 1 species